UGCAGGCGUUUUAUACAGUCCUGCGUGCUCCUCUGCCAGGAGGGGGACCUGAGGACGUGGCUGCGCUACACUGGCACAGCUCUGCAGCACCGUCUGUAGUGCAGAUCCCCUCAGACAGCUCAGCCCUCUUCACGCCCCCGACCAACAUAGCUGUGCUGGUCAGGUGGUCACCUUACCCCAUAAGAUGACAUCAAGAGAGGAAGAGCAAUUUCUCAUGCCACACAGCUUGUCACCAGAGUCCCUUAUAAACAUGGCUUACCUGCCUCUCAUGAUGACUUUGAAUUGCAUAUUGCAGUAGGAAUAUAACACAUUUCUAACAUUCCCACCAGGAACAACAUCAGUGAGAAUAAAUGGAGCUCUAUUGGAA